rnacentral:RNase_P_RNA from 1 species
UUGCAGGUGCGAACGGUUACGAGGGGAUGCCCUCGAGGAAAGUCCGAGCUCCACAGGGCACCGUAGCGGGUAACGCCCGCCUCUUGCCAUUUUGGCUUUGCCAAAAUGGCUGGACGGAUUAGAGCCACAGAGACGAGUCCUCUGAUGCCGAACAGGCAGACGAGGGGUGAAACGCGGCAAUCUCUACGGGGAGAAAGACCAAAUAGGGCCCGACUUUAGGUGCUGCCCGUACCUCUGUAUCGGGCCGGGUAGGUCGCUAAGUUGCGGAAUUGACCGCAAGAGGAUCUCGUCAGCGAUGACGGGACUAGAUGGAUUACCGUAUAGAACAGAACUCGGCUUACAGCACCUGCUUUUUA